ensembl:lncRNA
CGAUUGUCUUAUAGUGUGAUGUUUUAGGUCACUGAACUAUCUUUCACUGCUCCAUUGAAUCUUCAUAUCAGUGGGUUGUACCUUCACAAAACUUGGUGACAUACUCUUGGGUUUCUAAGUUGGGAAGCUGAUAGUUACAGCUCAUGUCUAGCGGGAAAAUGAACUUGCUACUGUAAUUUUUGCUCCUGCUCUUCUCACCAUCUUUGUUUCCUCAUUAGUGAUUUAUGACUAAAAUCCACUCGUCCAUUUUUCCCUGGAGGACCAGGGAUUCUCUUUAUGUAGCUGACAGUUUCCUCAUAACAGGGUGCAGAAAGGAGACAGCUGCUAAUGCUCCAUGUUCAAAAGAUGGUUGGCCCCUCCAUUAGGUGGCUUCACUAUUUGCAUAUUAGCUCCAUUUUUGGCAUCACCGAAAAAAAAAAGCAACCGUGUAAUCAAAGGACUCACAGUCAUUUUCACAAAAUGAGAGAUGACAGUAGUUGGACUGCAUGCUAGGAAGGGGGCGCCACACGGUGUAGGUGGAAAGACAGGAAGCUGGGCAUCUGAAAUUCCAGCUCCACGCUUUGCUAACUCCCUAGUCUUGGGGGAAUCACUGAAUUUCACUGGUGAUCGGUUUUCACAUCAGAAAAAUGAGGCAAGGAUGUUGUGAGGUUCCAGUGCUUUAUGAGGGUAGCACUAAAGAUGCUUCCCAGUACAGAUAAGAGAAAAGCCAAAGCAACCAGCCCAAACAACGCGGUACUGGAUCUGGAUCGCAUCGUUGAUCUGGCAGCUUAAUGACGUCACCAAGUCCUCUCUUCUUUACUUGAUAGCCGUUGGCUGCAAUUGGCCAGUCACUAUCAUCUGGGCUGCUGCUUCUCCUUCGUAUUUAUGGGGACCACUGGCUGGCUUUGCAUAGCUCUCUAAAGGAGAAGGGACAUCUUGAAGGCCACAGCAGGACUCCUUCCAUCUCCUCCAUAUCGCCAUCAAAUGGCACCACUGAAGAUAGACAUAUGAUACAAAGGACAUGGAACUUUCUUACACUGCAGAUGGGGAAGUCACUUGGUACUAUCACUGUGGAAAAUAGCUUGUAGUAUCUACUCACAUUGAACAUACACACACCGUUUGGCCCAGCAACUCCUCUUAGGCACGUACCCUGCAGACAGGCCUCUACGCGUGUGUCCUUGGACACACGUAACAUGUUCACAGCCGCACAACCAGCAAUCCUCCUAAACUGGAAGGCAGCCAGAGACUCAUCAGCAGUAGAAUGGAUGGGAGUUCUCGCUGUCGUGCGGCAGGUUAAGGAUCCAGUGUCAUCUCUGCAGUGGCUCAGGUCACCACUGAGGCGCAGGUUCAGUCCCUGCCCCCCAGGGGGGCAGCGGGCAGUGAGUUAAGGAUUCAGCAUUGCUGCAGCUGUGGUGUAGGUUGUAGCUGCAGCUCAGAUUUGAUUCCUGGCCCAGGAACUUCCAUAUACCACAGGUGUACCCCCCCCCAAAAAAAAACCACCAAAACCCAGUAGACUGGAUAAAAAAACUGGCUUGUUCCGUAGUGCGUUAUGAUACAACAGUAAAAGCAAACAACUAGCAACAACACAGAGCAAUGAGUCUCACACAUACAUGAGGAAAGCAAAAGAGGCCACAUACGAAGAAUACGUAUUGUUUUGAUUCCACUGAUACAAAGAAGUGUGAAACAGGUAAAAUGACUUUACACUCUUGAAAGUCAGGACAGUGGUCACCCUUGAGGGGACAGUGACUGGAAGGGGGCAGAAGAGGGUUUUCUGGGAGCUGAUUACACAGUUAUACUCUGUGAGCAUGUAUCAAGCUGUAUAUAUACAUGAUGCUCACUUUGCUGUAUGUGUGUUAUGCUUUGUUAGAAACCCUUAAAGCAUACCAGCUUCUGUGUCUCAACUACAUGGACUGCUGGUCCUCUCUUGAGCACAGGCUGUGCCCGGGGGUGGAAUCAGACAAGCGAAUCAGAGAACCCCAGGAGCUGAGGAUGGAGCCCGCUCACCUAAGGCACAGGUUUUCAAGGGGGAAGAUAGCCAAACCGAACUGGGCUUUUUUGGUUUUUAUUUUUUGGUGUUUUUUGCUUUUGGGGGUCACACCCAUGGCAUGUGGAAGUUCCCAGGCUAGGCGCUGAAUCGGAGCUGUAGCUUCAGGCUUACGCCACAGCCGUAGCCACGCAGGAUCCAAGCCGCAUCUGUGACCUACACCCCAGCUCAGGGCAACCCUGCAUCCUUUUCCCUCUGAGCAAGGUCAGGGCUGGAAGCCGCAUCCUCGUGGAUACUGGUAGGAGUCAUUUGCACUGCACCACAAUGGGAACUCCCAACCUGGGGUUUCAUUCAGAAGAUAUGGGGAGGGAUGCUGGCGAGACAGUCGCCUGUGUCCAUGGCAUAAAGGAUAAAGGGCUUGAAGAAACGUGAAGGACAAUAGAUGUGUUCCGUUGGCGCUCUGCUCUCGGGUGACUUGUGGUUGGUCGUUUUGCUGAUCCAUCCGUUGUUUCCUAGGUCAUUACUUGACCUCUGUAAAUACAGGAGCAGUCAAGUUGGGCUUGACUUUUCUUGGCCGGUAAAGAGAUGCCCCAAGGGGGUAUCCUCACCCAGGAGGCUUCGAGCAUCCUCUGUGGGCUCAUCCCCUGGGUGAAUUCAUCAGGGCUCUGCGCCUGCCCUCUGUCCUGCUGGCUUAUCUCAGCCAGCACAUGAAGAGAAGACCCAGUUCCCAGUGAAGUCUUCACAUCAACCGCGCUCUGGACUGACAUGCAGCAUCAGAAUGGCCAGUUUAUGGAACUGUCUGAUGCAGACCCAGGAAAAUACAGGCGGGGGUGGGGCGCAGCCUCCAAGCCAGGGAAAUUAGUUAAAUCAAGGAUUCUCAGUCCUCAGUUACCGGGGGCAGCUUUUAAAAAUAUUGAUACCCAGGCUCCACUGUCAAGGAUUCUACUUUUUUUGAAGAUUUUUAUUUUUUCUAUUGUAGCUGAUGUACAGUGUUCUGCCAAUUUCUGCCGUACAGCAGAACGACCAGUCAUACUUAUUAUACAUGUGUAUAUUCUUUCUCUCACAUUAUCCUCCACCGUGCUGCAUCACAGGUGGUAGAUAUAGUUCCCUGUGCUGUACAGCAGGAGCUCAUUGCUGAAAGGAUUCUAAUUCAGUUGGCCUGGGCAGAUUCUGGGCCAGGAUGGGGAACCCAUGUGUACCAGGCUGAGGGAGCCUGGCACCUCCAUCUCCUCAGUGGGACCGACCUGCCUGCCGUGGGGACGGGAGUAUUGGAGGUUGGUAGUCAAAGCUCCUCUCCCCUCACUUGAAGCGGCGGCUGCUGUCCGCAGUCACUCUGGCCGACUCUCCCCCGACCAGGCUCCCAGGCUGGCCAGCCUGCCUUUUUGGAUGAAUACAUCUGGUCAGGUUGCAGUCAGGUUUAAAGGUCUGAGAACCAGUUUUUCUCUAUUUACGGCAAACCUGCGUAUCUGCAUCAAUCCCAUCUGUACUGACGUUAGAGUGUUUCCGCGGGCUGACUUUCUCCUUGUUUUCAAGUUGCCGGAGACGACUUCGUGACCCUUGGGCCCUGAUGUCCCUCUUCAUCUUCUUUUUUUUUUUUUCCUGGGNGGGGGUGGGUGGGCGGAAGGAAGUGAUAAGUAGCCCUGAUGAGACUGAUUUGAGAACCAGCUUCUCUGACGCCAUCAUUUCAAAAGCAGACAAAUCAUCCAUGAAGUUGCCUUGCUUGAGAGCUUAGAGUUAGGUACAAACCUGGCUCCUUGAGGGAGGCUGCUGCUGGUGUUUGGUACUGGGGACAAGCUGCAGACCCCAGGUGGGCGGGGGGCCAAGGACCUGAGCAAGGGCAUGUAGGAGGGGCCGGUGGUGGAGGCCAGGACGGUCAGCCCCCCAGGGCACAAGCCCAUGACUCUGUGUCACCGCCAGGCAGCACCCCGCCCCCAGGACUCCCGAGGGCUCUCCUGGCCCCGCCCUGGGCUCUUCCCCCAUCAGUUCCCCCCCCCCCCUGGUCGUCAGGUCUCUCUGCCCCUCCACUCCGACUCCUCCUCCCCCUCUGCUUCAACAAACAGGCCUCCUGCAGCCCAGCCUCCCUGGGAGCAAAACCUAACUAUCUUCUCCGACAGACGCUGGUCUCGCUUCCAGCUGGUCCACCUUGUUGUUUACAAAUGGGUUAAAGACCGUCCCAGCCUCUUGGCUCCCAUGUUGUUUGUUUCUUCCCUUAUUUCAAGGAAAGUGCCUAACUCACACCCAGUGGCACCCAACUCAAAUUCUUACACACUCUGUCACCUUAAAUAGAGCCCAAAGAAGCAUAUUUUUUGAGUCCCUGCUUUGCACACCCAGGAAACUGCAUCCAACUUCGGCUUCCCACAGAUGUAGCCAUAGCUAUGACAAACCCCCGAGGCUAUAAAAGACCCUGAUGGGCUGUUCCCCUUGGGAGCCUCUGACCUGCUACUGAGCGACAGCACCUGGACAAGCCCCCUCUCUGAUCCUCUCUCCUCUGGGAGCUCCCUGCCCUCUCCUGCUAGUGACCCCCGUUCCUGGAAGAUUUCCUGCUGAGACGGACCUCCUUGCCUGCAACCUGUCCAUGUGUCACCCAACAGACCUUGCUGUGCAACACUGCCACCUCGUGGUCCCGUCUCCUGCUUAAUCAGCCUCGAAACCCUGGAACUUGUCCCACCUGUCCAGGAGCUGUCCUUGCCCAGGUCACUAGUGACCUCAGAGCAUCAAAUCCAGUGGCCCCUUCCAGGCCCUCGAAUUGUGUGAUUCUGAAGGAUUUGCCCCUGGAGCGGGGACUCUCUUUAGAGCCCUUCCGUCCCCCCAGGGGCUCCGCAGAUGCUCUUCUUGCCUGUCUUCUCGUACACCUUGUCCUCAACAUAGUUUCAAAGCUUCUUAGGAAGAGUCUCUUCCUGUUUACCGUUGCACUUAGAAUGGACCCAACAUUUCCCCGAAGCUAUGCAGUAUGACUAACAGCACUAAACAUCCCCCACAGUGACCAUUUAUUGCUUCACACCACUGUCGGGUGCCUCACACAUAUCACAGAGGAACUCUUUGCUCCAGGCAGUACUGAUGUGUGAAUUGAGUAAAGUUGUAUCUUAUGAACCAGAUUAUCAGCUGCUCUCCGUACCUAUCUGGCAGCAUCCAAGGUCAAAAGGAGGUGACGAGUGAGGCUCCCAGAGGCUGGACGUGGACUCAGAUCUUGGUCAUCCUGGGAACCCGCAGUGAGGGCAGCAGGACCUGCUCCUGGUCUUUCCAUGAUUUCUGAGGAUUCUCGUUCUUUGUCUUGGCCUUGGGACUGUCUUGAUGCAGCUCAGAUUCAGGGAUAUUUGAGGGUGUUUCUCAAUAAGCUGUAGGGUCCAGAAAAUAGAGUACUCAGGUGAAAUUCAAAAUUUAAGUUCAAGUCCCUAGCCAAAAGUUUUAGCUCCUCUAUUGGAUGGGUCACUGUGAGAGGGAGACCAGUGAUGCCAGCUCUCCCAACCUCCCGGCCAAUCAGGAGGAAGACUGGCAGUGGGAGGAGCCUUCUGACUCCCUUGCCUGACCAGGAGGAUGGGAAUGUCCUGCUUGCCUGGGAUGAGGGCCCAGGAUGGGAAUGGAGGUGCAGGUUGGUUGCCAAAGACUGAGUCUGAUGUGUGCCUUCCAGUGUGCAAUGUUUAAAUUUCUGCGGUUAAGACUUUGGCUUGGUUUCUCUUUCCCUGGUUGCUACAGGCAUGUUCCAGGUAUAACAUGAUGACUUACAGGGGGUCCAAAGAAGAGGUUUGGAGGGAUUUAAUAGGGCACGGCCUACACGUUGAGUUAUGAAUGAUACUAAAAAGGAUCUGUAGUUUAUUAAAAAUCAGGACAUAUUGGCUCUGCAUUCUUUGGAGGGGAGACCAUGGGAUCUGAGAAUACUCAGGGUUGAAGGACCUUAGUUUCAUUAGCUGACCUUUUUCCCCCUAAGUAUCCAUAAAAAUGGUAUUCUGUCUGCCUCUGUCUCCUCUAAACUCACUCUAAAUAUGAGAAUGUUCCUGUAUUAAGACAAACUUCAUCUUCCUGUAACUUUUAUUGGAGUGAAAUUAGAAAUCAAUAACAGGAAGAAAUUUGGGAAAUCCUCAAAUAUGUGGAAGUUAAGCAACACACUUCUAAAUAAUCAAUGGGUAAAAGACACAUCGCAAAAGAAAUUACAAAGUAUUUUAAGAUGAAUGGAAUGAAGACACAACAUACCAAAACAUGUGGGAUGCAGCUAAAGCAGUGCUUAGAGGGAAAUUUAUAGUCGUAAAUGCCUACCUUAAAGAGGAAGAUCUCAAAUCAACACUUAACCAGCACUGAGGAAAAAAGAGGAAGCUAAACCCAAAGCAAGCAGAAGAAAAGAAAUAGUCAAGAUUAUGGUGAAAAUUAAUGAAAUAAAAAAUAGAAAAAAUAAGUAAAUAGGGAAAUAGGAAAUAGGAAAAAAAAUAAAACAAUAGGAAAAAUAAGUGAAACUAAAAGUUGGUCCUAUGAAAAGUUCAACCAGUUUGAUAAACCUUUAGCUAGAUUUAUACCAGAUAAAAAGACUCACAUUCCUAAAUUCAGGAAUAAACAUGGGACAUUACUGUUGACGUUACAGGAAAAAAAAAAAAAAA